AGUGAACGCUGGCGGUAGGCCUAACACAUGCAAGUCGAACGGCAGCACAGUAAGAGCUUGCUCUUACGGGUGGCGAGUGGCGGACGGGUGAGGAAUACAUCGGAAUCUACUUUUUCGUGGGGGAUAACGUAGGGAAACUUACGCUAAUACCGCAUACGACCUACGGGUGAAAGCAGGGGAUCUUCGGACCUUGCGCGAUUGAAUGAGCCGAUGUCGGAUUAGCUAGUUGGCGGGGUAAAGGCCCACCAAGGCGACGAUCCGUAGCUGGUCUGAGAGGAUGAGCAGCCACACUGGAACUGAGACACGGUCCAGAAUCCUACGGGAGGCAGCAGUGGGGAAUAUUGGACAAUGGGCGCAAGCCUGAUCCAGCCAUACCGCGUGGGUGAAGAAGGCCUUCGGGUUGUAAAGCCCUUUUGUUGGGAAAGAAAAGCAGCAGGUUAAUACCCCGCUGUUCUGACGGUACCCAAAGAAUAAGCACCGGCUAACUUCGUG
rnacentral:rRNA from 1 species